CGUAGCCGUCAUAAACUCGCGGAUCGAUCACAUAGCGGUACCAGCCAGUACUCUGAAAUCUACAGCCCGACAAGAAUCCAGUCGGAACGGAGGAUCCGCGCGCGCGGAGAUAAAUGCAGCCGCUGCACGAUGGCGCGUUUGAAUCGGGCGAUUCGCAAAGGAAACACAAUGCAGCCCACUUGCAUCGGAAUUAAGUAAAUGAAAUGAAUCCUUCGCGAACAAGUUUUCUAUUUCUUGCUUGAAUUCUGGGAAGUCGUUCGUUGAAGAUCAAAUGCAUGGUGGAGUCAACAAGAAUAGAAUGAGUAUCUCGACGUUUCAUAAGCACUGCGGGGAGUUUCAUCGGGUUUCAUACAGCACAUUCAUUUAUCACAAUUGAGACGCUAGGUGCAAUAAGGAUGCGAGCACAAAAACCUGAUUCAGAAAGAACAGCGUUCGAAGAAUAGAAGCUGGAAUUGGUUAAAUAUCUGCAAUCACGGUAUACACAAUUUCUGUGACUGGCGGAAUGAACGCUUCAAUUUUCAAUCUCAUUUCUGACAUAUUUGCUGUAAUAUUAUAAGCAAAAGAAAAAUGAAGUUAAUCUCUUUUUACAGGCAAUCAUUUCACAGAACAAUUUAUUUUACGUAAUUUUCAGCAU